rnacentral:lncRNA from 1 species
GUUGGGAACUGUGCACCAAUGAGCAAAGCACUUAUGGGAGAAAGAGGUUGACUGUCCUGUUGCUCUGGGUACCUGUUGGUUAGGGAUGGUAUUUGGAUCCUGCCUACUGAAAUGCCUGUGUAUUUUGCACUGCACGGGUGCUGAAUUAGAAAAGAGACUGAAUAAUCUGGAAAGCAAGAUUUGCUGGCUGCCCUGCGGUAUGGUUUCACUCAAGGGAGUGCAGCUUUCAUUUGCUAAGUCUCAGUGAGCUGUUAACCAGUGUACCAUACAAUGAAAUAGGAGAUGGAAAAGUGUUGUCCAGGGAGUCACCGGCAGGAGUUAAAGAGCUGGCCUUUACAACUUGAAAUAGUGUUUGGGUCCUUACAUCAAUUUAUGUACCAACACACGAGGACGACAGAGUUGUGUAUAACAGAGGUUUGCAGAAAUCAGAGAUGGGUGGUUAUCUUAAGUCCCAUAAGCAGGUGGAUUUAGAAGACCAUGUCAGCUUAAUGCAGAAAAUAAAUAUACAGGAAUGUGGCAGAAGUAGACCAUGGCAUAAUACCGUGAAAAGGGAUCGGCCACCAGUCAGGGACCCCCCUGGUUCUGCUCUGAGUGGGACGGGGAUGGAGCAGGAGCUGCACCUCAGCACCGUGCUGCCUCUCUGACAAGGUUUACAACCACUUUCCCGUCGUAUUUGGAGCCGGCGUGUGCUGCUCUGCCAUUGUACAGGUAUGACUAAGUACUGUCUGCUCCCAUUGAAUGUGGUAUCAUUUGUCUUACGUGAUGCAGGCUGGCUGCACAACACGACAGCACACAGUGACAGUAAUUUGCACUGAUCUGCCCCCACUGCUAGUCCUGCUGCUACAAAUAGCAAUUGAUUAUAAUGCUGUAGUGUUAUUGACUGUCACUAUGAACACAAGCUUUAUUUCAUUUUUAAAGUAACACACCACAGAUUUACUUAGCAGACAUGGAGCAAUAACAACAACAACAAAAAGAACAAAACCAAAACAAUUUGAGGCAAGGAGGAGGCAGAGGCAGCAUUGCAUAAAACACAGAAAGAAAAAAAAAAAAUUAACAUCCUUAGAUUAUUAACAUACUGCAAAAGAACAGAAAAGCUAUAGCUGGUAUAAAAGGAUGAAUCUGUCCAUAUUUCAGAGGAACAAUACUGAUUUACAUCACCUGAGGAUCUUGCCUGAAGCAUUUGAGUCAUGGAAAUCUCCCAGAUCCAUCAGAAUGUGGGGGAAAAACCAAGUCAGCCUUUAAAAAUCAUUAUAAUUAUAGUCAAAAUCAGGAUCUGCUGAGGCAGCAAAAUGCAUUAAUACUGCUCUGGAUUUACCCUGGCCUCUGAUUCUCCCUCCCCUCAGUUCAGGAUACAGUUUUUGAUCCAGGUUGUUAAAACAGA